GACAGAGGGUGCAAACGUUGUUCGGAAUUACUGGGCGUAAAGCGCGUGUAGGCGGCCAAGCAAGUCGGAUGUGAAAGCCCUCGGCUCAACCGGGGAAGUGCACUCGAAACUGCAUGGCUAGAGUCUCGGAGAGGAUCGUGGAAUUCUCGGUGUAGCGGUGAAAUGCGUAGAUAUCGGGAGGAAUACCAGUGGCGAAGGCGGCCUUCUGGACUGACACUGACGCUGAGGCGCGAAAGCUAGGGGAGCAAACGGG
rnacentral:rRNA from 1 species